UACAAUCAGCAUUAUAAAAACUAAAAGAAGAGCUUGAGAGUCACAAUCUUUAGUGGAAGGGGCAGCGAAAGAAUUCAGUGAAAAGACGAACGACAUCCUACCUACGUUGAGGAACGAAAACAAACGCUUUUGAAAGAAGAGGCCAUGUUUCAAGAUGGAAUAUCAAAGUGUGUGACGACAGAAACAGAUUUGAACAAUAAAUUUGAAAAACCAGAAAAAAUGGAACUCGAGCGAAGAAGAAGAGUUAGUGCACCAGCCAAACCGUACGGAGGUUCACAAAUGCCGGAUCACAAAUUAGAACAAACAUUUUAUGAAGGCGGAAAGAAGCUUUCUCAGUCAGCUUUGUUCAUUUCGCCAUCAUGGCAGAGUUUUGAGGGAGAGGAUGUCGACGGUGACCCACUGCACACAAGUUGGGACUACAUCAAAGAGAUGAUGAAGGACAGCAAAAAAGCAGAGAGAAUUAAGCUUUUGAAAACACAACAAGUCAGUGGUUCCGUCAAGGCACUCAGUCCAGAAACUACAGCAGAAACAAAGACGACUUUAAAGCAACUUAGGAAGGAGAUAUCGAGGAGAUUUUCCCGUGCAAGAGCAGACUCAACAGGCUCUUUGUUACCUUGGAUGGAUUGUAACGACUGGAAGGAGCCUUCGGAAGAUUUCAUUCCAGUUGAAUUUAAUCUUGGCUUCUUGGAUGACUAUAUGUAAGGUGUUAGAUGGUAAUUUAUUGUGAAUUUAUAGCUGUUGUCGAUGAUCCAAAAUGUCCAUGUAGAACCGCAGCCAGAUCGGUUAGUGUAGGGUCCCUUUUGGCCAUGGCGAGACCAUGCUUCAGUUUUUCAAAAGCAAGAUAUAUAAUGCUUUUUGUACGCGCCGAUCGGCCAGUUCCGAAUACAUUAGUAAACAAUUUUCACUUCCACCGAGCAGUCGAACAGACUGAAUUGCCCAUCAAAAGUUGAAUUUCCGUCCGGCCCUCCCACUCAGUCACCAUCUACACAAUCCCGCUGCUAGCGUAAAGUUCCUAUUCAAAACAUGUAUUUCUACACAUUUAAAUGUAAUGCACAGAUACGUUAAAUUCAAACACAUUUCGUGGUUUUAGUUGCUUUGGAAAACAAAAUUGUCAUUAAAGUUACACUGUAGCACGUAUGCACCAUGCUAUGACAUCACACGACUCUUGCUUCGUCUAAUAUGAAUCAUUUGUAAUCAUAUCACGUGACAAACGAGUAGAGUUGUUUUCAUCACAAAACUUUGUUUACGACAAGGUUGUUAGUUGGCUGCAUUCAGUUUCACUAUUUGGUAAACUAAUUUGGCAGACUCAUGUUAAAUUCACGCUGCAUAGCAAUUCGAAAACAUAAGAGUUCUCUAAGUCACAAAAUUUCGAAAAGCCGCAACGAAGUAGUACAAAUUAUUUACUGUUAUGGUACAGAUUAUUUGUGACUUAGCGCUCACAUUAAGUGAUUUAUAGGUUUGAGAGAAGGCAAAAGAAAAAUGUCGUCAACGUUACACCCGAAUCACAGGGAAUUAAAAAGUAAUGAAAAACCUGUUAGACUAGUUUGGUGAAGUAUUUUAAAAUAUGGCUUUUGUUUGCAUGCUCUUACAUUUGUUUGUGAACAAUAUCGAAAAUGUAAAAUGUAAACUAUGGUCCUCAAGUUAUUGGCUUCGAGUUUUAUAAAGACAGAGGUUAAGGAAAAACAAUAUUAGUUACUGAACUCAUUGGAAAAUGCGAUAAAAGUUUAGUCAAUUAUUCCUUAAGAACUUGUUGAUUAAUAUUUGUACUAUAAACUUUCAGAAAAUUUAA